AUUUUCAAAAUCUUUUUCAAAAAUUUCAAAUUCAACACAAAAUAUAUCUUGCCCAUGUCGUAUCUCUUGUCUCCCAUUCUCUUACUACACUAAACUAUUUGUUGAAAAUUUAUUUUGAAUCGUUCACCAAUUCUUUGAAGUUGGCAUCUUCAUUUACCUUUAGGAAUACCUUCUCUCCCCUAAGUGGGAUGAUUUUUACUAUAACGAUGCCUUCCUCCGUCAUUCUCUGUUGAAGCAUUAAUAUGUCAUUUCUUCCUCGCUUAUCGAUAAUAAUAUACACACAACCUUUUUCCUUUGCUUUCUUUUUAUCGUUUUAUAUUUCCU
rnacentral:lncRNA from 1 species